UACGAAGGGGGCUAGCGUUGCUCGGAAUCACUGGGCGUAAAGCGCACGUAGGCGGAUUGUUAAGUCAGGGGUGAAAUCCUGGAGCUCAACUCCAGAACUGCCUUUGAUACUGGCGAUCUUGAGUCCGGGAGAGGUGAGUGGAACUCCGAGUGUAGAGGUGAAAUUCGUAGAUAUUCGGAAGAACACCAGUGGCGAAGGCGGCUCACUGGCCCGGUACUGACGCUGAGGUGCGAAAGCGUGGGGAGCAAACGGG
rnacentral:rRNA from 1 species